UACGUAGGGGGCAAGCGUUGUCCGGAAUCAUUGGGCGUAAAGCGCGCGUAGGCGGCCCGGUAAGUCCGUUGUGAAAGUCAAAGGCUCAACCUUUGAACGCCGAUGGAUACUGCCGGGCUAGAGUCCGGAAGAGGCGAGUGGAAUUCCUGGUGUAGCGGUGGAAUGCGCAGAUAUCAGGAGGAACACCAAUAGCGAAGGCAGCUCGCUGGGACGGUACUGACGCUGAUACGCGAAAGCGUGGGGAGCAAACAGG
rnacentral:rRNA from 1 species